rnacentral:rRNA from 1 species
AAUAGAUACCCAGGUAGUCCACGCCGUAAACGAUGAUGGCUGGAUGUUGGCGAUACACCGUCAGCGUCUGAGGGAAACCAUUAAGCCAUCCACCUGGGGAGUACGGCCGCAAGGCUGAAACUCAAAGGAAUUGACGGGGGCCCGCACAAGCGGAGGAACAUGUGGUUUAAUUCGAUGAUACGCGAGGAACCUUACCCGGGCUAGAACGCACUCGGAAUGUACGGGAAACCGUACAGCCCUUCGGGGCCGGUGCGAGGUGCUGCAUGGUUGUCGUCAGCUCGUGCCGUGAGGUGUCGGGUUAAGUCCCAUAACGAGCGCAACCCCUACCGCCAGUUGCCAGCGGGCAAUGCCGGGGACUCUGGCGGAACUGCCGGCGUAAGCCGCGAGGAAGGCGGGGAUGACGUCAAAUCAGCACGGCCCUUACGUCCGGGGCUACACACGUGUUACAAUGGCCGGUACAGAAGGCAGCCACCCCGGCGAGGGGGCGCUAAUCUCGAAAGCCGGUCCCAGUUCGGAUCGGAGUCUGCAACCCGAUCCGUGAAGUUGGAUUCGCUAGU